rnacentral:rRNA from 1 species
GACAGAGGUCCCAAGCGUUAGGCGGAAUCACUGGGCUUAAAGCGUGUGUAGGCGGACGCGUAAGUGCUUUGUGAAAUCCCACGGCUCACCCGUGGAACUGCUGGGCAUACUGGCGAUCUUGUGCCACCUAGGGGCGAGCGGAACAGAUGGUGGAGCGGUGAAAUGCGUAGAUAUCAUCUGGAACGCCAAUGGUGAAAACAGCUCGCUGGGGGUGUGCAGACGCUGAGACACGAAAGCCAGGGGAGCGAACGGG